CAAGUCGAGCGGUAACAUGAUAAGUAGCAAUACUUAUUGUGAUGACGAGCGGCGGACGGGUUGAGGAACACGUAGGAAUCUACCUUCAAGCGGGGGACAACCAAUGGAAACGUUGGCUAAUACCGCAUAACAUCGAGAGAUCAAAGUUGCUCGCAAGGGUGACACUUGAAGAGGAGCCUGCGUCCGAUUAGCUAGUUGGUGAGGUAAGAGCUCACCAAGGCGAUGAUCGGUAACUGGUCUGAGAGGACGGCCAGUCACACUGGGACUGAGACACGGCCCAGACUCCUACGGGAGGCAGCAGUGGGGAAUCUUGGACAAUGGGGGCAACCCUGAUCCAGCGAUGCCGCGUGAGUGAAGAAGGCCUUCGGGUCGUAAAGCUCUUUAGGUUGGGAAGAAGUCUAUGAGAGGAAAUGCUUGUAGAUUGACGGUACCGACAGAAUAAGCACCGGCAAACUCUGUGCCAGCAGCCGCGGUAAUACAGAGGGUGCGAGCGUUAAUCGGAUUUACUGGGCGUAAAGGGCGCGUAGGCGGUUUUAUGAGUGUGAUGUGAAAGCCCCGGGCUUAACCUGGGAAGCGCAUCGCAAACGAUAGAACUAGAGUAGAUGAGAGGGUGAUGGAAUUUCCGGUGUAGCGGUGAAAUGCGUAGAGAUCGGAAGGAACGUCAAUGGCGAAGGCAGUUCACCUGGCAUCAUACUGACGCUGAGGCGCGAAAGCGUGGGGGAGCGAACAGGAUUAGAUACCCUGGUAGUCCCCCGCUGUUAAACGAUGACA
rnacentral:rRNA from 1 species